rnacentral:lncRNA from 1 species
AAGAAUCCCUAGAACCCAAAAAUCUCUAUGAUCCAAGUAGCCCUACAGCCUCGAACAUGGAACCUUCCCCCACCAUACCUCGUCAAAAGAUUAGAACUGACCCAGGAUUAGAGGUCAUCAAAUCUAAUAAUGAGUAUACUCCAGACCUCAAAGCUCUUGAGGUCCUCUGGUAUCUUCCUAAAGAUGCGUUAAAAAGGAAGUGGUACACCAGUACCUAUUCUAAAGAUCAACAAAAAGAGUUUGGCAGACUCUGGAUAGAUG